rnacentral:rRNA from 1 species
UGCCUUUAGCCCAGAGUAUUAAAGGUAUCGCCUGCCCAGUGAAUAUUAAACGGCCGCGGGAUCCUCACCGUGCAAAGGUAGCAUAAUCACUUGUCCCCUAAAUAGUGACUAGUAUGAAUGGCCAAAUGAAGAUUUUACUGUCUCUUAUAGCUAAUCUAUGAAACUAAUCUAUCAGUACAAAAACUGAUAUAUUAACAUAAGACGAAAAGACCCUGUGGAACUUCAAGCACAACUCAAUACCAUGACCCCCUGCUUUUAGUUGGGGCAACUUUGGAAAUAAACAAAACUUCCAAUCUUUUAUAAGAUAAACAUAUCAACAAACAUAUAAUUUGAUAUAGACCCAGUACUACACUGAUCAAAGAACCAAGCUACCCCAGGGAUAACAGCGCUAUCCCCUCCAAGAGCCCAAAUCGACGAGAGGGGUUUACGACCUCGAUGUUGGAUCAGGGCCCCCAAACAGUGCAACAGCUGUUAACGGUUUGUUUGUUCAACAAUUAAAGCCCU